UGUGCUAUUUAUAACUAUGUGCGGACCUAAUCUGGUGUGCGCCUUAUCACAAAUCAAGCGCUCCCUUUUGAUUGCCACGCCUGCUCCCUUGGAGCGGAGAGACAGCAUUCAUGCGACACAGAAGAGUGGAGCUGCCUGCCGAGCAUCGACAGAAAUGAAUCUAGCUGUGGACUGUGAUGCAAUUGACACAGAUGAGGAUGACACAGGUGUCACAGAUGCUGCGUCAUGAAUUUCACUUUCAUCUACACAAUCAUCAGCUCAUCAACUUUAUUCCUCUGUAGUUGCUGCAGUUCUGCAUGUCACCCUUGUUCUUGAAGAUUGGCAAAAGAACGCUUCUGCUUAAUUCUUCUCACCCUCUGUUGAACAAGCUGGUUAGAAACUUCACUGCUGCCUCUCCUAGACACUUCCACACCUCCACAGGGUUAUCACAAACAACUUAAGAUGAAGUCCGAAGAGAUUACUCUGACGGACUACAUUGCUUUAUGCACUCUGAGACAACCUCCGAGACAACCCCUGUAUUAUUAAUAGGAACAUCUAGGGAGGGAGUUAAAUUUUAUGUAAAAUUGCACUCUAGACAAGACUGUGAAAAGAAGGUAAGUGUUUACAUUUCUGCAAUUCUGCUGAGAGGGUUUUUUUUUGCAGUUCUACAUGAGUACCUGUAGCCUUUUUGUUGUACAGUAUUAUAUCUUGCACUUCUUACUAAUAAAUUGUUUUCCUUUUUCGUAACUGUCACCCCAUUGAAUUUGUCCUUUUAAAGACUCAUUGACUAGAUUUAGGCAUAUGUCACCAACAAGUAAUUCUAUAUUGGUUAAAUUAGUAGUAGUAGUACUUGAAGUACAUUGUACAUUUUGUCAAAUACAGGUAUCCAUAAAUAAGUACUAUAUGUACUGUAUUAUUUUUAGCCAAAUAAAAAGCGAUUAUGCACACUUUUAAUGUUUUAAACUUGCAUACAUUAAUCCCCUGCAGGUAAACACACACCGUUGCCCCCUGGUGGUUGUUCGUGAUAACAAAUAAUAGUAGUGUCCCCACAUGGAUGGAAAAACCUGACAAAAAGUCAGCAUUGUAAAGUUGACAUAUUUUGGUACCAAAGUUAAUUUUUUGCAUUUAAAAAAAUUGUAGAUUAUGACUAUGCUUUUAUAAUGCCUUUAUUACAUCUAGAAACAUGACGUCCCCAUGUGUAACCUGCUAGUCUGGUGGUCCUCACGUGGGAGGAAAAACAUGUAUGUGUGCGUGCGGCGGGCCCCAAGGGUCACUAGAAUGGCGUUUUUAAAACGCGUUUUGUCAGGUUGAGACGCGAGACGCGUCUUGGUUGUUUUCGAGACGCGUCACGAGACGCGUCUCGUUUGGUCUAUGCAAAUUUUUACCCGCCCGUGUUUUCCCACCAACAAUACAUUCAAAGUGACUUCAGCCAAUCACUGAUGACUUGGAAUAGUCAAAAGUAGUAGAUGACUGAUACUCACUGACAAUGUGUAAACAGUAAAAUAGAACUGAAAAUAGCCCCUUCCUUGGCUAUGUAAGAACAUAUUCACCAAGUGCUGUAGAUAAUAAAACAAGAUAAUAAAAUAAAGCUAAAAGUUUUAAGAACAUGCUUAUAUUAAGCACAUGCAUGCUUAAAAUAUGAGUUUAUAAUUUUUAUUUUUAUUUUAGAGCAUUCUGUGAUUAAAAAUAACAUUAAAAUAUAAAAAUUUUGAAAUUAAACGCAAAGAUUAGUCUCUAAUGUCAACAAGAAGAGCCUCAUCAAAAAAUUGUUCAUCAUUAGGGGUCACUCCUAUUCUUCUGUUUUGUGUGGUACACCGCGAGUUAGGGGAUUGUGUGUGGGAAUGACCAUCAAUGAGCAGUGCUUUGUGGGGUGUGUGAAGAGUAAGUUGUGCUUGCUUUCUACAAAGGAAGUGCACCAAGAGGUGCUGUUAUUUUGUGUCUCUUUACCUGCACAGUGUAAUCUGAGCAGCAGACACAUGAAUGAUAUUGCCUGUAAAUAAGUACAGGAUUUAAUUGGGCAUUCAGUUAAUUGGACUUGCUUGCAAGAAGGACUCCUAAAAUAAUUUAAUGUAUGUUGUUAUAAACUAUAAAGUCUUCACCUUAGCCAAAUGUGCAUAGUUCAUUAAAGAAUGAAAAUGCAUUGGCCAUCCUGUACGGUGUGGUCUGCUGGAGCAGCAGCAUCACAGUGAGGGACAGGAAGAGACUGGACAGGAUCAUCAACAAGUCCAGCUCUGUCCUGGGCUGCACUCUGGACACGGUGCAGGAGGUGGGUGAGAGAAGGGUCCUGGCUAAACUGACAUCCAUCAUGGACCAGGACUCUGACCAACUGGAGGACUCACUGUCUGCUCUGGAGAGCAGCUUCAGUAGCAGACUGAUCCACCCUCGCUGUGUAAAGGAGAGAUAUCGUAGAUCCUUCCUACCUGCUGCUGUCAGACUGUACAAUUAGUACUGUAUCAGUGGUUUAUGUAGCAACCUGCUCUGCACAACAUUUGUGUAAAUCUGUAAACAAUCAUGUAUAUUGUUACCGGUACAAAUCUUAUACCCAUUACUGUGCAAUAACCCUGCAAUGACCUCAUACUCACUCCAACUGCACUGCUUUGUACUGUGCCAACACAAACUGUUCUGUGUUCUGUGUCUGUCAACCUGUGUCGCAUCUGAACCCAGGCGUAAACAGCUGCUGGCUCCUCCUCUUCCUCUCAACGUUGAAAGUAACUGUGACUCGUUCACCAAAACACGUCACAAAAGACGAGUUAAACGUGUGUUCUGACCACGUAGUAACAACAGACAAGGCUGAUGUAACGAGAACAGGUGCUGACACCAAUUUAUCAAAUGUAGACGUCUUAUGAAACCCGUUAGAUUUAACGUAACACCAAGAAACAGCGGUCACAAGAUAAUCUGAGUUCCACCGUCCACUUAGGGCUUCAUUUAUGUUAGAUACAUAUUGGGAGGAGAGCUUCAUAGCGAUCUCUCGA